CUGCGAAGGUGGCCUGUGAGGGUUGCUGGAGGUAUCAGAAGUGCGAAUGCUGACAUAAGUAACGAUAAAGCGGGUGAAAAGCCCGCUCGCCGGAAGACCAAGGGUUCCUGUCCAACGUUAAUCGGGGCAGGGUGAGUCGACCCCUAAGGCGAGGCCGAAAGGCGUAGUCGAUGGGAAACGGGUUAAUAUUCCCGUACUUGGUGUUACUGCGAAGGGGGGACGGAGAAGGCUAUGUUGGCCGGGCGACGGUUGUCCCGGUUUAAGCGUGUAGGUGUGUGUUCCAGGUAAAUCCGGUU
rnacentral:rRNA from 1 species